UUUCCGCUUCCCCCAAAACCAUAUUAUUCUCUCCAGUUCCCAUUCAACUCCCAUCACCUAAUUUCGUAUUCUUUCCCCCACAAAAUCAUUGUUCCUCUAUUUCCUUCUCUCCUCUCGGGCAACCAGCAAUUCAGCUCAAGUUAUCUUUAUACUUCUUCAUUUUGUUUUUCAGGAACUGGAAUUAUGGGUACACAAAUGGCACAAAUUCUCUGGGUAUGUUUCGUUUUUCUCCGUUUAAUUUUGUAUUUGAUUUCAACUAUCUAUUCGCUUCUGGAAAAGAGUACAUCUGCUCCUGUUGUCUGAUAAAUUUGAUGUUUACAUUAUGCUAACUUUAUCUGGGCAUGGAGUUACUGUUGCUUGGCUUUACAGUUGUGGUCACUAUACUAUAAGAGUGUAUAUCCGUUUCGGUUUUUGUUGCUUUUAAUGUCCAUGACAUGUUGCUUUUAAUUCAUGUUUUUAACAAAGUAUGCUUCCUCAAUCCUUGUAUGGGAGAUGCAUGUACCAUAUUGAAAUCUUGAAAUCUUUUACAUCUGCAGCAGCCCUCUGGAGCAAGGCCUGCCUCGUUAAUUAUGUAACAGAGGUGGAAUUUUUCAGAUGGGGAUUCUGGUGGAGGAGAAAAAAUAGAUGGUGCCAAAUUUAAACAUAAUAAUCAAAUCCUAAUUGAUUCGCCUAACGAAUUUGUAGGAAAAUCACCCAGAGAAUCCUUCAUAAGAAUUCAGCAGCUGACAUAUUUUUUGUUUUCUUCCCCUACUUUCUCUGACAAUGUAGUUGAUUACUUUUUUCUUACUAAACAAGUUUUGUCCACAGAUUUUUUUGAUAAGAAAUUACAAACUUUCACGUGUAUUUUCGUCUAAACAAAUUUUAUGAGUUAAGUUUUUUUUUCUCUACAGUAUGGAUAUAGAUUCUAACAUUUCUUUGUUCCAACUAUAUGCUGCAUACAGGAUGACGAAGAUGAUGAUGUCAAUGAUGCUCGAGAUGCCGGUGGCUGCAAAGAGUAAGAAAUAUGCAAUUUGAAAUGUGUUACAUUUAGUAGUACUUCCUUCAAUGCUAUCGUAUAUUUGGAGCUUCUUUAAAAAAAUUCAUUGGUCACAUGCUCGUAUGAAAAAUUUCUGAUUAAUAAUAUAUAAAAUCAUGAAAACAUAGGUCCAGUUGUUUAAUAUGUUCUUGCUUUCCUUUUCCCAAAUGGCAUUAUAUUUUCAUUGUGGUUGCCUCUGCUAUUUGCAAAUCUUUUACCUCUUCAGAUAUCGCAGAAUCAUCAAGUCGGUGUAAAGAGCAUGGAAAUGUUAAAAGUAAUGGCUGCCCUUGAGCUGAAGGGAGUCUUUAGCUGCAUUGCUCCAAUGCCUGAGAAAGCUA
rnacentral:lncRNA from 1 species